UACGUAGGGUGCAAGCGUUAAUCGGAAUUACUGGGCGUAAAGCGUGCGCAGGCGGCGCGUUAAGACAGGUGUGAAAGCCCCGAGCUUACUUGGGAAUUGCGCUUGUGACUGGCGUGCGUGGAGUGUGGCAGAGGGAGGUGGAAUUCCACGUGUAGCAGUGAAAUGCGUAGAGAUGUGGAGGAACACCGAUGGCGAAGGCAGCCUCCUGGGCCAGCACUGACGCUCAUGCACGAAAGCGUGGGGAGCAAACAGG
rnacentral:rRNA from 1 species